CUCCUUAAAAAGACUCAGGCCGCCCGCUCCUGUCUCUGGGUGUCUGUUAUGAACUGAAUUGGGCUCCCUUAAAAUUCUUAUUUGAAGCCCUAACCUCUAAUGUGACUGUCUUCGGAGAUGGGUCCUUUGAGGAGAUAAUUAAGGCUCCAUGAGAUCCUAAGGGUGGGGCGCAGAUCUGAUAGGACUGGUGUCCCCAUAAGGAGAGGAAGAGACGCCAGAGGCCUCUGUCCUUGUUCCCACAGAGAGGGAAGCCAUGUGGAAAGAGCGGCAGCCCAUCCUCAAGCCAGGAGGAGAGGCCCCAGCAGACACCAACCCUGACAGAACCUUGACCUGGGACACCCAGCCUGCAGAACCGUGAGAAGGUGUUCCUUACCUGACUGCAUAACCUGCAUGAGUUUGGAGGACCACAGCACUGUCCCAAGAAGGAAAGCAGGACCUGAUAUGAGGCAGAGCGUUUGCUUCCAUCUGUUCUGGUCGACAGAAGGACCUUUGGUGAUCGAUUAUCUGAGGAUCUAAGUCCAGCCCUUGUUACCCAUUGGAAUGAACAACAAGGAGGUUCAAAAGGUUUCCCUGUGUAUAGACUGAGAUAGAAUAACCUGACUUUUUGGACGUUUGCCAACGAUUUUUCCCAUCCUUUCAUCCAGAGGUUCUCAAUGUGUGGUCCCCUGACCAGCAGCGUCACCAUUACCUGGGCACUUGUUAGAAAUGCAAAUUAUCAGGUAGUCCUGACCACAGAAUAAUCAGUCUAUGUUUUAACCAGCCUUGAGGCGAUUCUGAUGUGCGCUCAAUUUGAGAAUUUGAGAACUACUGCUAAUAAAA